UAGGGAAUAUUGGACAAUGGGCGCAAGCCUGAUCCAGCCAUGCCGCGUGAGUGAAGAAGGCCAUCGGGUUGUAAAGCUCUUUUGUCCGGAAAGAAAAGCAUCGGGUUAAUACCCAGGUGUUCUGACGGUACCGGAAGAAUAAGCACCGGCUAACUUCGUGCGAGCAGCCGCGGUAAUACGAAGGGUGCAAGCGUUACUCGGAAUUACUGGGCGUAAAGCGUGCGUAGGUGGUUUGUUAAGUCUGAUGUUAAAGCCCUGGGCUCAACCUGGGAAUGGCAUUGGAAACUGGCGGACUGGAGUGCUGUAGAGGGUAGCUGAAUUCCCGGUGUAGCAGUGAAAUGCGUAGAGAUCGGGAGGCACAUCCGUGGCGAAGUCUGCUACCUGGACCAGCACUGACACUGAGGCACGAAAGCGUGGGGAGCAAACA
rnacentral:rRNA from 1 species